CGCAGCAGGAAGUCAGCCCUCCGGACAGAACCGUUCCUGUGAUGGUGUUACUUGCUGGGAGAGGAAUGUUCUUGUUCUUCAUCCGGUUUGCUGCGCCACUGUUCUGGUGGGUCUGGCCACUCGUGCAGACAGAGCUGUGGCUUCCCGGAGAGUGUGCUAAGCAUUUCACUUUUGGCGCUUAGUUUUCUAGUCUGGGAGCCAGACAGA
rnacentral:snoRNA from 1 species